rnacentral:rRNA from 1 species
GACGAACGCUGGCGGCGUGCCUAAUACAUGCAAGUCGAGCGGACUUUCAAGAAGCUUGCUUUUUGAAAGUUAGCGGCGGACGGGUGAGUAACACGUGGGCAACCUACCUGCAAGACGGGGAUAACUCCGGGAAACCGGGGCUAAUACCGGAUAAUAUCUUCCUUCGCAUGAAGCAAGGUUGAAAGGCGGCGCAAGCUGCCGUUUGAGGAUGGGCCCGCGGCGCAUUAGCUCGUUGGUGAGGGAACGGCUCACCAAGGCGACGCGGCGUAACCGACCUGAGAGGGGGGGCGGCCUCGCUGGGCCUGGAGCACGGCCCAGGACUCUUCGGGGGGGACACGUCGGGGAUUCUCCCGAAUGGACGGAAGUCUGACGGGGGGACGCCGCGUGAGCGAAUGAGGUAGUCGGGUCGUAAAACUCUUUUGUCAGGGAAGGACAAGUACCGUUCGUACCGGGCGGUACCUUGACGGUACCUGAACAGAAAGCCACGGCUAACUACGUG